rnacentral:rRNA from 1 species
AUACGGAGGGUGCAAGCGUUAUUCGGAAUCACUGGGCGUAAAGGGUGCGUAGGCGGUUUGAUAAGUCUGAUGUGAAAUCCUAUGGCUCAACCAUAGAACUGCAUUGGAAACUGUCAGACUAGAAUACUGAAGGGGCAGAUGGAAUUAGUGGUGUAGGGGUAAAAUCCGUAGAUAUCACUAGGAAUACCGAAAGCGAAAGCGAUCUGCUGGGAAGUUAUUGACGCUGAGGCACGAAAGCGUGGGGAGCAAGCGGGAUUAGAUACCCUUGUAGUCC